GGCGUUGCCCAGACAACUAGGAUGUUGGCUUAGAAGCAGCCAUCAUUUAAAGAGUGCGUAAUAGCUCACUAGUCGAGUGACACUGCGCCGAAAAUGUACCGGGGCUAAACAUAUUACCGAAGCUGUGGAUUGUCCUUUGGACAAUGGUAGGAGAGCGUUCUAAGGGCGUCGAAGCAUGAUCGCAAGGACAUGUGGAGCGCUUAGAAGUGAGAAUGCCGGUGUGAGUAGCGAAAGACGGGUGAGAAUCCCGUCCACCGAUUGACUAAGGUUUCCAGAGGAAGGCUCGUCCGCUCUGGGUUAGUCGGGUCCUAAGCUGAGGCCGACAGGCGUAGGCGAUGGAUAACAGGUUGAUAUUCCUGUACCACCUAGUAUCGUUUUAAUCGAUGGGGGGACGCAGUAGGAUAGGCGAAGCGUGCUGUUGGAGUGCACGUCCAAGCAGUAAGGCUGAGUGUUAGGCAAAUCCGGCACUCAUAAGGCUGAGCUGUGAUGGGGAGAGGAAAUUGUUUCCUCGAGUCGUUGAUUUCACACUGCCGAGAAAAGCCUCUAGAUAGAUAACAGGUGCCCGUACCGCAAACCGACACAGGUAGUCAAGAUGAGAAUUCUAAGGUGAGCGAGCGAACUCUCGUUAAGGAACUCGGCAAAAUGACCCCGUAACUUCGGGAGAAGGGGUGCUCUUUAGGGUUCACGCCCAGAAGAGCCGCAGUGAAUAGGCCCAAGCGACUGUUUAUCAAAAACACAGGUCUCUGCUAAACCGUAAGGUGAUGUAUAGGGGCUGACGCCUGCCCGGUGCUGGAAGGUUAAGAGGAGUGGUUAGCUUCUGCGAAGCUACGAAUCGAAGCCCCAGUAAACGGCGGCCGUAACUAUAACGGUCCUAAGGUAGCGAAAUUCCUUGUCGGGUAAGUUCCGACCCGCACGAAAGGCGUAACGAUUUGGGCACUGUCUCAACGAGAGACUCGGUGAAAUCAUAGUACCUGUGAAGAUGCAGGUUACCCGCGACAGGACGGAAAGACCCCGUGGAGCUUUACUGUAGCCUGAUAUUGAAAUUCGGCACAGCUUGUACAGGAUAGGUAGGAGCCUUUGAAACGUGAGCGCUAGCUUACGUGGAGGCGUUGGUGGGAUACUACCCUAGCUGUGUUGGCUUUCUAACCCGCACCACUUAUCGUGGUGGGAGACAGUGUCAGGCGGGCAGUUUGACUGGGGCGGUCGCCUCCUAAAAGGUAACGGAGGCGCUCAAAGGUUCCCUCAGAAUGGUUGGAAAUCAUUCAUAGAGUGUAAAGGCAUAAGGGAGCUUGACUGCGAGACCUACAAGUCGAGCAGGGUCGAAAGACGGACUUAGUGAUCCGGUGGUUCCGCAUGGAAGGGCCAUCGCUCAACGGAUAAAAGCUACCCCGGGGAUAACAGGCUUAUCUCCCCCAAGAGUUCACAUCGACGGGGAGGUUUGGCACCUCGAUGUCGGCUCAUCGCAUCCUGGGGCUGUAGUCGGUCCCAAGGGUUGGGCUGUUCGCCCAUUAAAGCGGUACGCUAGCUGGGUUCAGAACGUCGUGAGACAGUUCGGUCCCUAUCCGUCGUGGGCGUAGGAAAUUUGAGAGGAGCUGUCCUUAGUACGAGAGGACCGGGAUGGACAUACCUCUGGUGUACCAGUUGUCGUGCCAACGGCAUAGCUGGGUAGCUAUGUAUGGACGGGAUAAGUGCUGAAAGCAUCUAAGCAUGAAGCCCCCCUCAAGAUGAGAUUUCCCAACUUCGGUUAUAAGAUCCCUCGAAGAUGACGAGGUUAAUAGGUUCGAGGUGGAAGCGUGGUGACACGUGGAGCUGACGAAUACUAAUCGAUCGAAGACUUAAUCAAUUUUUAAA
rnacentral:rRNA from 1 species